GAUGAACGCUAGCGGCAGGCCUAAUACAUGCAAGUCGAACGGUGUCUUCGGACAUAGUGGCGCACGGGUGCGUAACACGUAUGCAACCUACCUUACAUUGGGGGAUAGCCUUUCGAAAGGGAGAUUAAUACCGCAUAAGACAGUAGCUGGGCAUCCAGCAGCUGUUAAAGAUUUAUCGAUGUAAGCUGGGCAUGCGUCCAAUUAGCUAGUUGGUGAGGUAACGGCUCACCAAGGCAAUGAUUGGUAGGGGAACUGAGAGAUCAAUCCUCAACCAUGGCACUGAGAUGCGGGCCAGACACCUAGGGGAGGCAGCAGUAGGAAAUAUUGGGCAAUGGACGCAAGUCUGACCCAGCCAUGCCGCGUGCAGGAUGAAGGCGUUAUGCGUUGUAAACUGCUUUUAUACAGGAAGAAACGACUCUUGCGAGAGGCAUUGACGGUACUGUAUGAAUAAGCACCGGCUAACUCCGUGCCAGCCGCCGCGGUAAUAC
rnacentral:rRNA from 1 species